AUGUUAUAUCUGCUAUUUAAUAGUUUAUUUUUAUUAUCUUCCGAAUAUAACAAUUUUUGUUCUUACAUAAAAUCAUAUGAUAAAUAUGUUACUAUGUAUCAAUUUAUAGUAAAGAAAUUAAAACCAUAUGAAGAGAAAUUAUUUUUAUUAAUAUGUAAUAAUAAAAAAGAAUGGACUAACAUAUAUUUAUAUUAUAAAAAUUCCAAAUAUAUAAAAUUAUUUACUAAUUUUAUUUUACUUUUACACAACCUCAUUUCUAUUUUAUAUAGUUACAACGAUCAACUAAUUUUUUUUCUUUUUAAUUUUAUUUUUAAUAUUAAUACGGAAAAUUUUAAUUUACUGGGACAUGCUUAUGAUAACUAUUUUGCAAUUGAUGUAUGUGAAUAUGAUCAUGUACGUAUGUACGACUAUAAAACGAAUAAUUUCAUGCGAUAUCAAACAAAAAAAAAAUCCAAUCAGUUUUCUAAUGAACCUAUUAUGAUAUAUAGAUCAUUUUCAUCUGAAUGUUUUGAACAAAAGGAAAAAAUAGAAAAAUACGAUGAUAAUUAUAAUAGUGUUGAUUAUGUGUAUGCUUCUGAUGACGGUAUACCCCGAGUGCAUGAACAGAGACCAUUUGGUAAUAAAACGUGUGUUCAAAAAAAAAGUACCGACAAAGGUAUUGACAAAGGUAUUGACAAAAGUUAUAACUCAUGUGAUGACACAACAGUGCAAACGUUUAUCAGUACCAAACGGUACAACAAAUAUCAUGACAACAACAUACGCACUACUGACAAAAUAAGAAGGCGUGAUAGGAAUAAAAAGGUACUUCCCCAAUUUGCAACAUUCAAUUCGUCAGACCAUUCUAACAAUGAAGAUAACAUAGUCACUCCACAUAAAUUUAUUAAGAUAAAUAACGAUGAACAUACAGAAGAUGAACAGUUUUUUAACAGUAAAACUACCAUUAUGAGUGAAAAAAAAAAAAAAAUAAAUACACAUAAAACAUGUUUAUCGCUUUUUCAAAUUAUUGAUGUUAUUGAUCUUAUCUAUGAAAUAUGUGUAUAUAGCAAAAAAGAAAUAAAAAAUUAUUAUAUAUUUUAUAUUAUUGAAAAUAUAAAAAUUAAUUUAUCAAAUUGUUUUAAAGUUGUAAAAAAUAAACAUAAGGAAGAAAAGGAAAAGUUAUUUCUACUAAACAAUAUUAAAUUAUGUUCUAAAGUAUUAUUAUUUUUGUAUUUUAUAAAAAAACAAUAUAUUAUACUAUUUGAACAAACAAGUUACAACGCUUUUCAUUACUUAUAUACACAUCAUUUUGUCUCAUCUUAUUUUAUAAAACCAAAAAAAAAUAAAAAAAAAUUACCAAUCAUAUUUUACAUUAAUCAAAGUAUAUAUUUUUAUAAAAAUGUUUUUUUAAACGUACAUAAUUUAUAUUUUCUUUUAUUUCAAAAAAAAAAAAAAAAAAGAACAUUCAGUUUGAGAAUCAUGUGGAAAUUAUAUUACCAAUUUAAAAUGAAUUUCAGACGACUUAUAUCAGAUCGUGCAAAUGUAAUAACAAAUGAAAGUAAUAAACCAAGUGAUUGCGACUUAAGUGAU
rnacentral:lncRNA from 1 species